UCGGGCAAACUGAUUGACUUAAACCAUAUGUGCGAACAAUGCAGUUAGGAUUUCAAAUGUAUGGUAGGUCUUUGGGCCUAUGGAGGGUUCGAAGGACAACACAUGGACCGUAGACGGAACACUCGGUUAAUACUGACCACAAAUAGCUUCGCUUCAUCUUUGUAGACUAAUUUCCCUUUUACGGCUUUUCCAUCUUACGGCUUUCCAUGGAUUUUAUGGGAUGGAAAUCUAUUAUCUCGAACAUUAUACUCGCGUAUUCUUGUAGCUACAUAUCCUCUGGUAUUGCUGAUUGAUACCAGAUGUUUACUUUAAACCUGACCCAACACCUAGGGUGUUUCUUAACCUCUUGGCAAGUGAGAAAUUCGGAUUUUGCCAAAAGUGUAGCAGGUAAUCGUAAACGGACGGCCACUCCAAGUCCCGAACAUACCGUAUGUUUUAAAUUUCCCAUACACGUACAAAUAUCAACAGUCUGGUGAUAUAAAUC
rnacentral:misc_RNA from 1 species